ACAGCAGUCGCCACGGUAAAACAGAGGGUGCAAGCGUUAAUCGGAAUUACUGGGCGUAAAGCGCGCGUAGGUGGUUUGUUAAGUUGGAUGUGAAAGCCCCGGGCUCAACCUGGGAACUGCAUCCAAAACUGGCAAGCUAGAGUACGGUAGAGGGUGGUGGAAUUUCCUGUGUAGCGGUGAAAUGCGUAGAUAUAGGAAGGAACACCAGUGGCGAAGGCGACCACCUGGACUGAUACUGACACUGAGGUGCGAAAGCGUGGGGAGCAAACAGGAUUAGAUACCCCAGUAGUCCCUGUCUCUUAUAC
rnacentral:rRNA from 1 species